rnacentral:rRNA from 1 species
AAUCCAUAGGUUAAUGAGGCGAACCGGGGGAACUGAAACAUCUAAGUACCCCGAGGAAAAGAAAUCAACCGAGAUUCCCCCAGUAGCGGCGAGCGAACGGGGAGGAGCCCAGAGCCUGAAUCAGCAUGUGUGUUAGUGGAAGCGUCUGGAAAGGCGCGCGAUACAGGGUGACAGCCCCGUACACAAAAGCGCAUGUGCUGUGAGCUCGAUGAGUAGGGCGGGACACGUGGUAUCCUGUCUGAAUAUGGGGGGACCAUCCUCCAAGGCUAAAUACUCCUGACUGACCGAUAGUGAACCAGUACCGUGAGGGAAAGGCGAAAAGAACCCCGGCGAGGGGAGUGAAAAAGAACCUGAAACCGUGUACGUACAAGCAGUGGGAGCACCCUUCGGGGUGUGACUGCGUACCUUUUGUAUAAUGGGUCAGCGACUUAUAUUCUGUAGCAAGGUUAACCGAAUAGGGGAGCCGGAGGGAAACCGAGUCUUAAUUGGGCGUUAAGUUGCAGGGUAUAGACCCGAAACCCGGUGAUCUAGCCAUGGGCAGGUUGAAGGUUGGGUAACACUAACUGGAGGACCGAACCGACUAAUGUUGAAAAAUUAGCGGAUGACCUGUGGCUGGGGGUGAAAGGCCAAUCAAACCGGGAGAUAGCUGGUUCUCCCCGAAAGCUAUUUAGGUAGCGCCUCGUGAAUUCAUCUCCGGGGGUAGAGCACUGUUUCGGCUAGGGGGCCAUCCCGGCUUACCAACCCGAUGCAAACUGCGAAUACCGGAGAAUGUUAUCACGGGAGACACACGGCGGGUGCUAACGUCCGUCGUGAAGAGGGAAACAACCCAGACCGCCAGCUAAGGUCCCAAAGUCAUGGUUAAGUGGGAAACGAUGUGGGAAGGCCCAGACAGCCAGGAUGUUGGCUUAGAAGCAGCCAUCAUUUAAAGAAAGCGUAAUAGCUCACUGGUCGAGUCGGCCUGCGCGGAAGAUGUAACGGGGCUAAACCAUGCACCGAAGCUGCGGCAGCGAACGUAUCACCCAAGACAACUUUGCGGAGUUGACGAUUGACGGAGCGAAGCGACGUCAAAGCGUUCAUUAAAGUCGAGUUGGCUUAGGGAUACGUUCGUUGGGUAGGGGAGCGUUCUGUAAGCC